AAUAGGUCGUGUGGGACGAAUGAUUCGGAGCUGUGCAACAGCUAAUCGCACAUGCAUGAGGAGAGAUUAGACUCCCGAUAAGGCGGACCCACUCCCCAAGGAGAACUCCGAUGAUGUUUUAUCCCAAGUUGAAGUUUGGCUUGGAGCUGCGGCCUGCGGAUGAGUUGCUUCAUGUCAUACUCAGUGUGGAACCCUUUCUCUCUCAGAGCUCGAUACCGAGGCUGCAAGCCACUUAUCCAUGGAAAUGGUCAAGAAACAUGCAUGAUGAGCUGUUUGUGGAGAAAUAAAAACACCCAAACCUCAUUAACUGCAUCGCUGCUUUCCUAGCUGCAAACUUAUAUCACCUGGACUUCCCCUCUGUCAGGUCAAUAAUGUUGUUGUGGUGUCUGUAUGUAACCUGAUCGACUGCGCUCCAGGAUUUCAUCCUCAACUAGAUGUUGCUAACCUCAUCGAAGUUCACUUCCAUUUGCUGGAGGGUCCUUUCACCACAUCAUAGCCCUGUUUUGCGACUGGAUUUUGUUUUUCCUUUAGUACCCCCUUGUACAUUUCGAAUCUUAAAUGAGAAUACAGAGCACCUGCUGUGCAGUAUAAAAAUAUCCUCUGCUGUUGCUUUUAUCUCUGAGACAAGAUGGAAGUGUGUAAAUGAAGCUGCUGCCUGCUGUGCUUAGCUGGAUCAAUGCACUGAAGAGGCAGUUCCAACUUCCAAUAUCAAAAUGUUGUUCCUGUUGUUCCCACAGGAGAACUAAGCAAUCAUUUAAUCAAUUGUAUUGCAAGUAUACACUGAAUAUGCUUCUAAUGGUGGAGGUUGUGUUGAACCACUGUUACUGAUGUGUUACAUGGCUGUCCUACGUUUAUUCCUGUCACUGACCCAGAGAUGGAAUUUGAGAAACCCCGGAAGAUCUCUAACUUCAUCUAUCAAUUCUCUGGUUUCUGUUCAAAGUCCUAAGCUGUAAGCUGACAUCAAUCAACGCAUUAGUAUGCAAGCAGCAAAGACAUUAUCUCAGGAAUGAGAAAUGAGACAAUGGUUCUUACGAGGGUGGUUGGUGUUCGUACUAAUGAAUUGGCCGCUGACAAAAAGGUGAAUUUGAUGGGGAGGACUGGAGGAGCAUGAGUUGCCAAGCACUAAGUGGAUCAUGGUGCUGAGCAACUCCAAAAGUUGGCAGCUGACAAAAUGGUGAAAUUUGAUUUGGAGGACCAAUGAGCCAGCUUGAUGUUUUGCUUGUUUCAAAUAAGUAACUUGGAGCAUCACGUGGUGGUUUUGGUGAUUUGCUUUAUACAAGGAAGGGGCUCUUCUUGGAUAAAACAUCAUAGGGACAUGAUGAAGGAAGCUGCUGAUCAUUGGUAAUGAAACUGGCAAUGGUCCAAGCCAGCCAGGCGCAAUAAAACUGGCAAGGAUUGAAAUUGUAGUUUGUAAUCUGCUUGCCUUUAUGUCUGUGGCCGUCUCUUGUUUAUCGCGCUCCUCGGCUUGAUGCAGAUGCCACUGUGAAUUGCACAAGUGGCUUACAACUAGACUUCUUGAUUUCUUUAGCAAUCUACUCAAGUAAGGAAGAUGUCUGUGAACAAACUCAGCAACAGACAGGCUGAGUAAGGACUGAGCUUAUUCUUCCCUGGAGCUAGGAAAGGUGAAAGGACUUUGAAGAGUUGGUACAAAAUAGUUUUUUAGUGGGAUUGGAUCAAAUCCUUGAUUAAAUUUGUAAAAUAUGAAGAAGUUAUUUAUAAGAAUAUUGGAGAAACUGAAA